rnacentral:rRNA from 1 species
GGGGUUGGAAGGCACAAACGUAGCACAUAUUUUCAGGCCCCUUCGCUCCGAGCAACCUUUUUCUUCCUGUCAGACCUCUUUCUUUCUUUCCCGCUCCAACGCAGGCGAGUAGGUGAACCGAGACGAGCGUAGAAGGAACAACUAAGUAAGGCUAAGGGGAGCGAUCGAUUCCCUUCCCUUCCCUUCCCUAGGGCUCCUGCUACCCCCUCCUGCCCGUCUAGGCGGCGCUGUCCCAGUAGUAGCUGUGCCUAGGGCCGUAGCUACUAUCGUACUGCUAAGAUUACCGUAAACCUCUUGGUUCACACCUCUAGUAACCCGACUGUUGGUAUAAGCCGUUACAGUGAUGUCUCAUACGAUGUGCGUUACGCGAGAACGACACACUCUCUCGUCCCGUAGGACUCCAAGGUCAUCGUCUCCCGUCGGGCCUCGGAGAAUUCCCUCCUCUCGGUGCGCAACGACUGAAACAAGUACCUAGACUACCAGAACCAUUAAACAGAGAAGGACGUGGAUGAUGAUUCUUCCAACUCCUUUCACGACGGCUCAAGUACCAAUUAUUCCAGAGAGUCAAAGGACCUCUCUAUAGACAUGAACGUAACCCUGGGGACUGUUUACAGCGUAACCGGUAGUUUUCCCUGAGCAGUAAACGUUCGUUCCAGUUUUUUUAUCAACACGACCCACCUCGAAAGAAACGUCGACCUUUACAGUUGGGACGACGACUUCGUUUAUAGAUGCCUCUAGGCCUACGUCGCCUACAUCAAAAAUGUAGUCCUCGUCUAUAACUACACCAACCGUAAUUGUAUUGUUGAGUUACGACAAAAUGUCUACUCCUAGAGAACCUUGACUUUUUGAGUUUUCCCCACGUGUGUGUCAAGAACACACUGUACACGUUCAAGAUGUCUCUAACCGUACUCUUCAGACUGCCGAAGGUUCCCUAAAAGGAUGUACUAGGACACUCGAAAUGUCGGAAUCAAGUGGGACUCAUGAAGUGUAAGUUCUUCCCACAACACUCUCAGCUCUGGGUCCCGUAAACGUGGCCGGUAUGAAACUACCUGGUACCUAACUUCUUCACCUUAAGUCUUUUAGGUACCAGCCCAAUACGUGGUUAAAGUCAACGCACCUGUCAGCUACACGGUUUCCAGGAACGUAUACACUUCUUCGACGACUACCGCGGGACUCUUAUCUUGGUCUCUUCGUUCGUAUCCUCCUUCCCUUCGAAGGAUCACGUUUAGUUUGAUACCCCAUUUAAGACGUAUACUGUCGUAACACUGUUGUAACUAAGGUUUAUAGAUAUAUAUGGUUCAUGUAAUGUUUAAACCCUUUUUGAAGGGGUAUGAGCAACAACGAAACACGGGCAGAGUACAGAAACAAAUCGUCCGUAUAAACGUGCACAAAUCUGUUUACUCCUUCUAGAUAAACGAGUACAAACCAGUACAGCCCGAUU